rnacentral:rRNA from 1 species
GUCUACGGCCACGCCACCCUGAACGCGCCCGAUCUCGUCCGAUCUCGGAAGCUAAGCAGGGUCGGGCCUGGUUAGUACUUGGAUGAGAGACUACCUGGGAAUACCAGGUGCUGUAGGCA